GCAGUAGAAGUCAGACGUAUUUUCAGAUUUUAGACGUUCUUUUGUAAUUUACAAACAACAUACUUAGGUCAUUACGCCCGUACGUAGGCAAAAAUAGAUGGAGCGAACGAAUGGGCGUGUGAUCGUUCUCCGUGUCACCGUUUCCGGGACCGUGGCGCAAGGAUGUCGCAAUAUUUUAACUUUUUUGUGAAGUUAAUAUGGAACUAUUGCCAUUUAAACGAAACUUCAAGAUAGAAAUAAAUAAAAAAACUCGUUUUUGAUGUAACGUGUGUUGCUUCUAAUAAAUAUUGUAGGUUUACAUUA